rnacentral:rRNA from 1 species
CACGUAGGGUGCGAGCGUUGUCCGGAAUUAUUGGGCGUAAAGAGCUCGUAGGCGGUGUGUCGCGUCGGCCGUGAAAACCUGCAGCUUAACUGUGGGCUUGCGGUCGAUACGGGCAUCACUGGAGUUCGGCAGGGGAGACUGGAAUUCCUGGUGUAGCGGUGAAAUGCGCAGAUAUCAGGAGGAACACCGGUGGCGAAGGCGGCUCACUGGACCGGAACUGACGCUGAGGCGCGAAAGCGUGGGGAGCAAACAGG